AUAAAAGUGGCAGUACCAUAGCCAAUGAGGUUACUCUAAGGUGCAAUUAUUGCUAAUUGAAAACUUUUCUCAAUACUUCCUUUAAUGACUUUCAAGAUAGCAGGCAUUGGCAAUUUUUAACAGUUUCUAUGGAGA